rnacentral:rRNA from 1 species
CAGCCGCCGCGGUAAUACAGAGGGUGCAAGCGUUAAUCGGAAUUACUGGGCGUAAAGCGCGCGUAGGUGGUUUGUUAAGUUGGAUGUGAAAGCCCCGGGCUCAACCUGGGAACUGCAUCCAAAACUGGCAAGCUAGAGUACGGUAGAGGGUGGUGGAAUUUCCUGUGUAGCGGUAAAAUGCGUAGAUAUAGGAAGGAACACCAGUGGCGAAGGCGACCACCUGGACUGAUACUGACACUGAGGUGCGAAAGCGUGGGGAGCAAACAGGAUUAGAUACCCCCGUAGUCCCUGUCUCUUAUAC